CCUACGGGUGGCUGCAGUGGGGAAUAUUGGACAAUGGGGGCAACCCUGAUCCAGCCAUGCCGCGUGUGUGAAGAAGUCCCUCGGGUUGUAAAGCACUUUCAGUGAGGAAGAACGCCUGGUGGUUAAUACCCAUCAGGAAAGACAUCACUCACAGAAGAAGCACCGGCUAACUCCGUGCCAGCAGCCGCGGUAAUACGGAGGGUGCGAGCGUUAAUCGGAAUUACUGGGCGUAAAGCGCGCGUAGGUGGCUUGAUAAGCCGGUUGUGAAAGCCCCGGGCUCAACCUGGGAACGGCAUCCGGAACUGUCAAGCUAGAGUGCAGGAGAGGAAGGUAGAAUUCCCGGUGUAGCGGUGAAAUGCGUAGAGAUCGGGAGGAAUACCAGUGGCGAAGGCGGCCUUCUGGACUGACACUGACACUGAGGUGCGAAAGCGUGGGUAGCAAACAGGAUUAGAUACCCUAGUAGUC
rnacentral:rRNA from 1 species